rnacentral:tRNA from 1 species
UCUGGGAUAGCUCUAAUGGUAGGGCGGCGGGUUGUUAACCCGAAGGUUGAGGGUUCGAAUCCCUUUCCCAGAGCAA